UUAUAUAAAAAAAAAAUAUUUAAAAUAUUAUUAUACACAAUUAAAUUUUUUAUUAUUCAGAAUUUUUUAUAAUGAAAAAAAUAUACCCUAUUUUUUAAAAAUAUUUUUUAGCACAUUAUAUAUUAUAUCUUUUAAAAAAACGAAUAAAGAUAUUUUAUAUUUUUUCGACAAGAUAUUCUACUUUAGUAAAAAUGACGAAUUAGUUCAACUUAAAAAAAGAAAAGAUAGUGUUGUUAAUUAUGAGUUAGACGUUAAAAAAGAGGAUGAAGAAACGGGAGAAGUAGAAAAACACAAAGAGGUAUUCUCCCCAAAAGACGUGUUGUAUAGUAAUAUAGAGGAAACAAACAAAAAAUAUAUCUAUCCUGGAAAACAAACAAAAACAAACAAAAAUGUGAAAAAAAACAAUAAUUCAGAUGAUUCAGAAAUUGAAGCAUCAAGUGUUGCUGCUAGUACUAACAGUAGUAACAAAGCGAAAACAAAUGAUCAACAUGUGCUAACUAAACAAACAAAGGAAAAAUUAAAUAAUAAAAUUGAGGAGAAAAAAAAAAGGAAUAAUUCUUCUUCUAACGUACCAAAAAAAAAUUAUAUUGCAUUAUCUGAUAGUUUAAGUGAGACUUCUACUUCGGAUUCAGACAGUACAUAUGUACCGAGUCUUUAUGAUACUAAUAAGCGUAAAAAAAAAGCCAACGUAGAUGGAAAUGACAAUAAUAAACGAAAGAAGUCGAUGGACAAAAGUCAUACUAAUGCGACAACGUUAAGAACUUUAAAAACAACAAAAAAUAAUAAAAAAACGAAUAUUGAUAAUAGUAAUAAUACUAGUAAUAAUAAUAAUACUAGUAAUAAUAAUAAUAAUAAUAAUAAUAAUAAUAGUAAUAAUAAUAAUAAUAACGACGAUAGUGCACAUGACAAUAAUACCUAUAACAUCAGUGAAAAUAAUAAUAAUAAUAAUAAUAACUACAAAAUCAGUGGAAAUGAUAACAAAGAACUGAAUCUCAAAACGAAAAGACAUAUGAGCGAAUCAUUACCAAAAGUGCAGUUACUAAAACAGACUAGCAAUAUAAACCAAAAAAUUCAACAAAAUGAUAUAGAAGAAGUAAAAAAAAAUGCAAGUUCGAACUCGAACUAUGCAGAGAGCUUUGAAUUUAAUGGAGUUCCAUCAAUAAAAAUUUUAAAUAAUUUUUUACAUUUGUGUAAACAAUUUCAUAAAGAUUUGGAACUAAAGAUAUACAAUGGAGUAAUCGCAAAUUUAAAAGAAAAUAUAAAUGACAAAGAAAAGUUAAAAAAUUUUUUAAGGACAAAUUUUAACAAUAAG
rnacentral:lncRNA from 1 species